rnacentral:lncRNA from 1 species
UGGCACGAGGGGUCAAAGCAGUUCCUUUAGCAGGUGUUCUACCCAUUUCAGGCAUAAAACCCAGAGUCAUAUUAGUUGCUAUGACAGGUUUACUCUUGGUUUCAGGCAUAGCAUGGGCGGGCAUAUUAGUUGCUGUGGGAGGUUUUCUAUCAGUUUCAGGUAUAACAUGAGUGGUCAUAUUAGUUUCUGUGGAAGGUUUUCUAUCAAUUUCAGCUAUAAAAUGUGGUGGCACAUUAGCCGAAGUGGGAGGUUUUCUAUCAGUUUCAGGCAUAAAAUGAGGUGUCACAUUCACUGAAGUGGGAGGCUUUCUAUCAGUUUCAGGCAUAACAAGAGGGCUUGUAUUGAUUGCUGUUGGAGGUUUUCUAUCAUUUUCAGGCAUAACAAGAGAGCUCACACUGGUUGCUGUUGGAGGUUUUAUAUCAGUUUCUUUUGCAGCACCAGGGUUGAUAUUAGAUAUCCUAUUUGUUUCAUGUGCAACUUGAGAAGCCAUAUUGAUUGAUUGAUCUUCACUGCUAAAUUUCUCUCGUCUUUCAAAUCUCUCAACCAGAGAGCGUGUCC